UUGUGACGUUUCGGAGAUCAAACCGUCCCCUUCAUCAGACCAAUGAUGGUCUGAUGAAGGGGACGGUUUGAUCUCUGAAACGUCACAAGAAUAAACCAUGUUUUGUUUUUUCAAAGUCCAGUGAGUGCAGAUCUACUUUAUACUAUAAAUAACCACUGUU